UGGGGAAUUUUGGACAAUGGGCGAAAGCCUGAUCCAGCAAUGCCGCGUGUGUGAAGAAGGCCUUCGGGUUGUAAAGCACUUUUGUCCGGAAAGAAAUCCUUGGCUCUAAUACAGUCGGGGGAUGACGGUACCGGAAGAAUAAGCACCGGCUAACUACGUGCCAGCAGCCGCGGUAAUACGUAGGGUGCAAGCGUUAAUCGGAAUUACUGGGCGUAAAGCGUGCGCAGGCGGUUUGCUAAGACCGAUGUGAAAUCCCCGGGCUCAACCUGGGAACUGCAUUGGUGACUGGCAGGCUAGAGUAUGGCAGAGGGGGGUAGAAUUCCACGUGUAGCAGUGAAAUGCGUAGAGAUGUGGAGGAAUACCGAUGGCGAAGGCAGCCCCCUGGGCCAAUACUGACGCUCAUGCACGAAAGCGUGGGGAGCAAACAGGAUUAGAUACCCUGGUAGUCCACGCCCUAAACGAUGUCAACUAGUUGUUGGGGAUUCAUUCCUUAGUAACGUAGCUAACGCGUGAAGUUGACCGCCUGGGGAGUACGGUCGCAAGAUUAAAACUUAAAUGAAUUGAC
rnacentral:rRNA from 1 species